rnacentral:rRNA from 1 species
CAGCCGCCGCGGGAAUACGUAGGGCGCAAGCGUUAUCCGGAAUUAUUGGGCGUAAAGAGCUCGUAGGCGGUUUGUCGCGUCUGCCGUGAAAGUCCGGGACUCAACCCCGGAUCUGCGGUGGGUACGGGCAGACUAGAGUGAUGUAGGGGAGACUGGAAUUCCUGGUGUAGCGGUGAAAUGCGCAGAUAUCAGGAGGAACACCGAUGGCGAAGGCAGGUCUCUGGGCAUUAACUGACGCUGAGGAGCGAAAGCAUGGGGAGCGAACAGGAUUAGAGACCCCGGUAGUCCCUGUCUCUUAUAA